rnacentral:lncRNA from 1 species
GUGAUUGAGCACAAAGGGCACAUUAGAAGGAAAUGUCCUACAGUUUGUACAUGGUAGGUAGGUAGAUAUUAAAAUUUGUACAACUAGGGUUUGUACAAAUGUGUUCAGUUGGUACAAGUUUCACAAGAAAUAUAUGAACCAUCUUGAAUGAUCUUCCUGAAUGUAUAUAUCUUCGCAUGUCAAAUGAAUUUUUACUGACUAUUUCACUAAAUUGGUGAAAGCUUGACUCAUUAUUCGUAAAAUCAAAAGGGUGAGUUGAGGAACGAUGUUUAUAGUAACUAAGAUCGUAUGUGAAUUCACAAGUCAAUUUGACGUUAAGUUGUUGGAUUUGACGUUGCUCAUUGAUAGGUGCAUUAGUUAUCAUAUUUACAUGUUAAUUGAUCGAGAGUGUUAAUUGAUCGAGAGUGAUUGAGCACAAAGGGCACAUUAGAAGGAAAUGUCCUACAGUUUGUACAUGGUAGGUAGGUAGAUAUUAAAAUUUGUACAACUAGGGUUUGUACAAAUGUGUUCAGUUGGUACAAGUUUCACAAGAAAUAUAUGAACCAUCUUGAAUGAUCUUCCUGAAUGUAUAUAUCUUACCAUGUCAAAUGAAUUUUUACUGACUAUUUCACUAAAUUGGUGAAAGCUUGACUCAUUAUUCGUAAAAUCAAAAGGGUGAGUUGAGGAACGAUGUUUAUAGUAACUAAGAUCGUAUGUGAAUUCACAAGUUAGUUUGACGUUAAAUUGUUGGAUUUGACAUUGCUCAUUGAUAGGUGCAUUAGUUAUCAUAUUUUUAUGUUAAUUAUCCAUAAAUUUUGUUAAGGAAUUUAUUAUAAAAGAGCCUUAUUACUUUCCUUUCCUUAAUCUCAGCCAAUUUGGGCACUUAUAACGUUUUUGGUGAUAAUUCGACUUUUUGGAGAAGUUUUGAUGCAAGACCAAUUGGAGAAGGAAGCUAAGAGGCUGAAGCUCGUUGUGUUCGAAUUUCAUAAUUUUCCAUGAAGCCAUUAAUUUCAGUUUCACAAAUCAAUACCGCAAAAGUUGCUUGCCCGUCAGAAUUGCGCAGAUAUAGGAGAAUGACGAUUUGAAGGCUUUCCCAAUUUUUCCUAGUGGCGUGAGAUAUAUGCUUGGAAAGAUAAGAGAUAAAGCUACGUUUCCCAUAUUUUUACAGAAUUUUCCAGAUGAUACAUAGACCCCAAAUUUGGCGUGCAAGAUAGAUGACGUGUUUCCCAAGCCACGAAGGAUUCUUUCCUAGUUUGUGCCAUUAAUUGUUUAGGAGUUUGUUUUAUUUUAGGAGAGUUUCUUCCAGACAUUUUAGGGUUUUUCUAAGUAUAAAUAAGGCGCCCUAAGCUCUCUCUACAAAUCCCGACAUCACCCCACAUCCAUACUACCAUUCAUCAUCUCCGCAAUUCGUGAAGAAGAGCUUAGGGACGUACUUUGCCAUGGACUUUGGCUUCUAUCUUUCUUUUAUUUUUAUUUUUAAGCGUAAUUAAGUUAUUUUCUAAGGUUUAUGAUGAAGUCACGACAUGAAUAUUUGCGAAGUACUUUGUUAAUUAUUAUCUGAUUAUAUGCCAUGUUAUAUUCUUAAUCUUUGUGGGUAUUUUAUUCUAGAUUUGGAUUUCUAAUGACUGAUCACCUUUAGGAAUUAUGCAUCUAGAUAUUUAGAUAAAUCUAUGAGGAUGACCAAUCAAUUAGGUUGAUUGGAAUUAAGAUUAAGAAGAGUAGACAAACUAGUGAGGAUGACCAAUAUCAAGCUAGUGCUACUUGGUUGACAUGAUUAUUCUACACUUAUUGGGUUUUUAUGUGUUUAAUUGUAUGCCUAACCAAUAAGAUAUAAUUAUCAUAUAGAGAUACAAGAGUUGAUGCCUGACCACAGAUUAAUUCUUACCUUAGAAAGAAAGAACAACCUUUACAUUGGCAUUAUAAUUGGAUAGUAGUUGCUCUAGAAAAAGUAAAUAGGAUUGUUAUUGGUGAAUUCAUAACCUUAGGUUUUCUUGUGUCGUGUGUUUAUUUUAAUUCAUUGUCUUUUCUUUUUCUCAAUUUUAGUCUUAAUCAAUUACUCAAAUUUUCAAUUCAAUUUAUCCUUUGUUUGUUUAAUUAAGCCUAACGUGAUUAAUCGGUUAAAUUGGUGUUAAACAAUUCCUAUGGGAUCGACCUCGUAUUUGCAUAUAUUACUGCAAUUAAUUCGUGCGCUUGCGAGUUUAAUUUGGUU